GGUUGUCACGCCAGUGGCAUCGCCGGGUAGCUAUGUUCGGAAGAGAUAACCGCUGAAAGCAUCUAAGCGGGAAACUCGCCUUGAGAUGAGAUAUCCCCGGGGCUUCGAGCCCCUUGAAGGGUCGUUCAAGACCAGGACGUUGAUAGGUCAGGUGUGGAAGCGCAGUAAUGCGUUAAGCUAACUGAUACUAAUUGCCCGUAAGGCUUGAUCCUA
rnacentral:rRNA from 1 species